UGGGGAAUUUUGGACAAUGGGCGCAAGCCUGAUCCAGCAAUGCCGCGUGCAGGAUGAAGGCCUUCGGGUUGUAAACUGCUUUUGUACGGAACGAAAAGCCUCUCUCUAAUACAGGGGGGUGAUGACGGUACCGUAAGAAUAAGCACCGGCUAACUACGUGCCAGCAGCCGCGGUAAUACGUAGGGUGCAAGCGUUAAUCGGAAUUACUGGGCGUAAAGCGUGCGCAGGCGGUUUUGUAAGACAGUGGUGAAGUCCCCGGGCUCAACCUGGGAACUGCCAUUGUGACUGCAAGGCUGGAGUGCGGCAGAGGGGGGAUGGAAUUCCGCGUGUAGCAGUGAAAUGCGUAGAUAUGCGGAGGAACACCGAUGGCGAAGGCAAUCCCCUGGGCCUGCACUGACGCUCAUGCACGAAAGCGUGGGGAGCAAACAGGAUUAGAUACCCUGGUAGUCCACGCCCUAAACGAUGUCAACUGGUUGUU
rnacentral:rRNA from 1 species